rnacentral:rRNA from 1 species
AGCGAACGCUGGCGGCAGGCUUAACACAUGCAAGUCGAGCGGGCAUCCUUGUGGUGUCGGCGGCAGACGGGUGAGUAACGCGUGGGAACGUGCCCUUCGGUUCGGAAUAACUCAGGGAAACUUGAGCUAAUACCGGAUACGUGCGAGAGCAGAAAGGUUUAUCUGCCGAAGGAUCGGCCCGCGUCUGAUUAGCUAGUUGGUGAGGUUAUGGCUCACCAAGGCGACGAUCAGUAGCUGGUCUGAGAGGAUGAUCAGCCACACUGGGACUGAGACACGGCCCAGACUCCUACGGGAGGCAGCAGUGGGGAAUAUUGGACAAUGGGGGCAACCCUGAUCCAGCCAUGCCGCGUGAGUGAUGACGGCCUUAGGGUUGUAAAGCUCUUUUCUCCGGGACGAUAAUGACGGUACCGGAGGAAUAAGCCCCGGCUAACUUCGUG